rnacentral:rRNA from 1 species
GUCAGAAUUCCUAUCACGUUGAAAGCACGCCAUCCCGUCCGAUCUGGCAACUUAAGCAACGUUGGGCCUGGUUAGUACCUGGAUCGAAGACGGCUUGGGAAUCCCAGGUGGCGUAAGCU